rnacentral:rRNA from 1 species
CCUACGGGCGGCAGCAGUGAGGAAUAUUGGUCAAUGGACGGAAGUCUGAACCAGCCAUGCCGCGUGCAGGAAGACGGCUCUAUGAGUUGUAAACUGCUUUUGUACAAGGGUAAACCUGGAUACGUGUAUUCGGCUGAAAGUACUGUACGAAUAAGGAUCGGCUAACUCCGUGCCAGCAGCCGCGGUAAUACGGAGGAUCCAAGCGUUAUCCGGAUUUAUUGGGUUUAAAGGGUGCGUAGGCGGAUUGAUAAGUUAGAGGUGAAAUGCCCGAGCUUAACUCGGGAACUGCCUCUAAUACUGUUGAUCUAGAGAUUAGAUGCGGUAGGCGGAAUGUAUGGUGUAGCGGUGAAAUGCAUAGAGAUCAUACAGAACACCGAUUGCGAAGGCAGCUUACCAAUCUAUAUCUGACGUUGAGGCACGAAAGCGUGGGGAGCAAACAGGAUUAGAUACCCCAGUAGUC